rnacentral:rRNA from 1 species
UGGGGAAUAUUGGACAAUGGGGGAAACCCUGAUCCAGCAAUGCCGCGUGUGUGAAGAAGGCCUUCGGGUUGUAAAGCACUUUCAGUGGGGAAGAAAGAACCAAAAUUAAUACUUUUGGGUGUUGACGUUACCUACAGAAGAAGCACUGGCUAACUCUGUGCCAGCAGCCGCGGUAAUACAGAGAGUGCAAGCGUUAAUCGGAAUUACUGGGCGUAAAGCGCGCGUAGGUGGAUACUUAAGUCGGAUGUGAAAUCCCUGGGCUUAACCUAGGAAUUGCACCCGAUACUGGGUAUCUGGAGUAUGGUAGAGGGAAGUGGAAUUUCCGGUGUAGCGGUGAAAUGCGUAGAUAUCGGAAAGAACACCAGUGGCGAAGGCGGCUUCCUGGACCAAUACUGACACU